CCCUUAGAUGUUCUGGGCCGCACGCGUGUUACACUGAUGCAUUCAUCAAGCGCCACACCUUGGCUCGGAAGGCCUCGGUAAUCUUGAAAGUGCAUCGUGCUAGGGAUAGAUUAUUGUAAUUUUUAAUCUUCAACGAGGAAUUUCUAGUAGGCGUCAGUCAUCAACUGGCACCGAUUACGUCCCUGCCCUUUGUACACACCGCCCGUCGCUCCUACCGAUCGAAGAGUUAGGUGAAUUGUUUUGAUCGAUAAGAUUUGACUAUGGUCAACUCUCGUUGUGAAAUUCUGUGAAUCUGACUGUUUAGAGGAAGGAAAAGUCGUAACA
rnacentral:rRNA from 1 species